rnacentral:rRNA from 1 species
UACCCUUUUCUAAGGAAUAGCCACUGGAAACGGUGAGUAAUACCUUAUACGCCCUUCGGGGGAAAGAUUUAUCGGAGAAGGAUCGGCCCGCGUUAGAUUAGAUAGUUGGUGGGGUAACGGCCUACCAAGUCUACGAUCUAUAGCUGGUUUUAGAGGAUGAUCAGCAACACUGGGACUGAGACACGGCCCAGACUCCUACGGGAGGCAGCAGUGGGGAAUCUUGGACAAUGGGCGCAAGCCUGAUCCAGCCAUGCCGCGUGAGUGAUGAAGGCCUUAGGGUCGUAAAGCUCUUUCGCUGGGGAUGAUAAUGACAGUACCCAGUAAAGAAACCCCGGCUAACUCCGUGCCAGCAGCCGCGGUAAUACGGAGGGGGUUAGCGUUGUUCGGAAUUACUGGGCGUAAAGCGCGCGUAGGCGGAUUGGAAAGUUGGGGGUGAAAUCCCGGGGCUCAACCUCGGAACUGCCUCCAAAACUAUCAGUCUAGAGUUCGAGAGAGGUGAGUGGAAUUCCGAGUGUAGAGGUGAAAUUCGUAGAUAUUCGGAGGAACACCA